AUUGUAAAGCUUUAGGACACUCUUGGGAUGGCAAUUGCUCCAGAAGACACUCUACAGCAGCCAAGCAAACAGCACUGAAAUAUGUGAAAUGGCCAAAUCCUGAUGAGGAGCAGCCAUUGGCUAUCAGCAGCUUGGCAGCAAUUGGAGCAGUACAAGGAGAUAGGCACUGCCUCUUCAUGGUCACCCGGAUCCCCCUGUUCAGAGCCGAGGGCAAGACCCAGUCUUUCAGGAAGAAGCAGACAAACCCAGGAGACUGUGCUACUUUAAACACCGGAGUCUACGUUUUUGCAAUCCCAGAGUCCCUCUAUUUUUUUCUUUUUUCUUUUUUUUUCUGAAAAGCGCAUUUCAAAAUAGAAAGAAGGACUGAGAUAAUUCAAAGGCAUAUUCUUAUCAGGAAGGAAUGAAGUGCUACUUUCCCUGGUGAGCCUCCCUGUAGUAUAGGAGAGGUGUUCUGUAUUUGUGCCUGAUAACAAUCCAACUUGGGAGGAGAAUGCAAAGCAGAAGAACAAUAUUUACUUCAAACUGAUUGUAUUUUUCAUAAAUUGUCACCAAAAGAUCCCAAAUAUCAAGCGAAAGGGAAGCUACUGUAUCUCUUUGUUGCUGGAACACUGCCUUCAGCACGUGGGGUUGAGGCGAUCCUAUCUCCAUCUGCUGCCCUGAGGAGCAGAGAAGGGGAACUGCUGUUCAGAUGAUAAGAGGGGCCAGAGGCUUCUCUGUUAAUAUGUAAACUUUGGAUCAAAAAGAAGACAAGAGGCUCCAGGCAGAAGCCAUCGCUCAAUAGGUGGGUUUUGACUCCUCACGUGCAAGGAAAAUGCCUGUCUACUGGUAUUGGCUGGCUUCCAUAAGGAGGAGAAAAGGGAUGGGAUGGAGAUGUGACCCCAGUGGUUUGUUUUUUCCACUUCUGAUUGAAUAAUGUCUGCAUUGAGAGAUGAUCAUCUGGCCACCGAUGACCCGUAGUACUUGGCCAGGCUUUCUGGGAAGACCCUCAGUUUCAGAAAGGACCACUUCAGCUUCUUGAUCUCUUGCUCUCUGCACCAUCCAGCAUCUAUAUUUGCCCCAUAAGAUGGACUGAACCACCAGUAAUUCAUUGCAAAUACCCACAGGAUGGAGAAUUUCCCAAACGCUUUGGCAGCCUGCACCCACAGCUUGAACCUUAUGUUUCCCCAGCUGAGUUUUUCUGACUUGAGACAAGUUCUGCAUGCUACCUAUGCUAGAGUCAGUGUUUUCUUCCUGUGUCUUUGCCCCGUGCAAUCUCAAAACACCUUUCUAAUUCUUCUCUCUUCCAUGCUAAAAUCUUGUGUGAGAGCAGGAACUGUUGGUGAGGAUCAGCAUACUGAGGGGGAUAGGCAGAGCAGUUGUGGAUAUGCCAAAGGUAAUGAAACAUCUCAUGGCUCUUUUCUUUUCCUGCAGCCACUCCCUGCUCCACAGCCCCCACCCCAUCUUCUUCAAAUGAUUUCCCGCAUUUGUUCCCAUUUUUUGGCUCUGUCUUUAUCACAUUUCUCCCUGCUUUGAGAUGAGGACUGAGCCUGCUGCUCUAUCCUAUAGAAAGUGUUUGCUGUUGGGUAGACACUCUGCGUUUAAAGUUUCCUGAUGUUUUGUCCAGCUUUCUUUCCCUAAGCUCUAUGGGUCAGGUUCCUCUGCCUCCCUUCUUUAUCUUCGUGCAUCAAGCACAAAUCUGACCUCACUGAUAUCCCAGCAGUUCCCCUCCUGGCCUCAUCCCUGCUGCCUGCUGUGACACUGGCCAUAUCCCUGGCAACAGAGAGCAGCUUUCCGGCAGGAACAAGAGGAAAGGUCUGAGCUGUGAGAGCCGCGUUGCCUUCAUAUGCAAAUUAAUUCAAACACAUUCAAUUACACUAGAAAGAACAUAUAAUAAUUGGCAACAGGUUAUGCAGUGUUUUGUCUUGCUAUGCUAUCUCUCCCUGAGGAUUAUUCUGGGAUGAAUAUCUAUGUGGCUGUAUUAAAAAAUAAAAAUAAAAAACAAACAAAGGAAAGAAAAACAACUUGCACCUCCUCCAGAAAUAUAUUUAUUUUCCAUGCUCCUGGACUCUUUGGCGGCCACAAAACUACAUUAAUGUGGGGUGACGUUAUUCACUCCCUUGUGGGCAACUUUCUCCUUGCCAGCUGCAGAUGUGUUGUUCCCUUCCAACUGUUUAAUAAAUGGAGGGAAACCAUGGUAUUGUAUCAGACUGUAGCAUGCCUUUUUGGGCUAUCAGAAGCUUAUUUACAAAAGAAGGCUGUGUAUCACAAGGCUUGUUAUAUGGAUUGCUCUACCUUCAUGCCCAUGGAGGAGAAGAGUUCGGGUUGAAAAAACUAAAGGGUGAAAAGAUCCUGGCCCCAAGCAAAGGGUGCCUCUUGCUGCCCUGCAGCAGUUCCUGCACCUCUUCUGAUGAUUUCAUCUUUUUUUUUUUUUUUUUU